rnacentral:rRNA from 1 species
UACGAGGGGGGCAAGCGUUGUUCGGAAUUACUGGGCGUAAAGCGCACGUAGGCGGCUUUGUAAGUUAGAGGUGAAAGCCCGGGGCUCAACUCCGGAAUUGCCUUUAAGACUGCAUCGCUAGAAUUGUGGAGAGGUAAGUGGAAUUCCGAGUGUAGAGGUGUAAUUCGUAGAUAUUCGGAAGAACACCAGUGGCGAAGGCGACUUACUGGACACAUAUUGACGCUGAGGUGCGAAAGCGUGGGGAGCAAACAGG